rnacentral:rRNA from 1 species
GACGAACGCUGGCGGCGUACUUAACACAUGCAAGUCGAACGGAAAGGCCCUGCUUUUGUGGGGUGCUCGAGUGGCGAACGGGUGAGUAACACGUGAGUAACCUGCCCUUGACUUUGGGAUAACUUCAGGAAACUGGGGCUAAUACCGGAUAGGAGCUCCUGCUGCAUGGUGGGGGUUGGAAAGUUUCGGCGGUUGGGGAUGGACUCGCGGCUUAUCAGCUUGUUGGUGGGGUAGUGGCUUACCAAGGCUUUGACGGGUAGCCGGCCUGAGAGGGUGACCGGCCACAUUGGGACUGAGAUACGGCCCAGACUCCUACGGGAGGCGGCAGUGGGGAAUAUUGCACAAUGGGCGGAAGCCUGAUGCAGCAACGCCGCGUGCGGGAUGACGGCCUUCGGGUUGUAAACCGCUUUCGCCUGUGACGAAGCGUGAGUGACGGUAAUGGGUAAAGAAGCACCGGCUAACUACGUGCCAGCAGCCGCGGUGAUACGUAGGGUGCGAGCGUUGUCCGGAUUUAUUGGGCGUAAAGGGCUCGUAGGUGGUUGAUCGCGUCGGAAGUGUAAUCUUGGGGCUUAACCCUGAGCGUGCUUUCGAUACGGGUUGACUUGAGGGAGGUAGGGGAGAAUGGAAUUCCUGGUGGAGCGGUGGAAUGCGCAGAUAUCAGGAGGAACACCAGUGGCGAAGGCGGUUCUCUGGGCCUUUCCUGACGCUGAGGAGCGAAAGCGUGGGGAGCGAACAGGCUUAGAUACCCUGGUAGUCCACGCUGUAAACGGUGGGUACUAGGUGUGGGGUCCAUUCCACGGGUUCCGUGCCGUAGCUAACGCUUUAAGUACCCCGCCUGGGGAGUACGGCCGCAAGGCUAAAACUCAAAGGAAUUGACGGGGCCCCGCACAAGCGGCGGAGCAUGCGGAUUAAUUCGAUGCAACGCGUAGAACCUUACCUGGGUUUGACAUGGAUCGGGAGUGCUCAGAGAUGGGUGUGCCUCUUUUGGGGUCGGUUCACAGGUGGUGCAUGGCUGUCGUCAGCUCGUGUCGUGAGAUGUUGGGUUAAGUCCCGCAACGAGCGCAACCCUUGUUCACUGUUGCCAGCACGUUAUGGUGGGGACUCAGUGGAGACCGCCGGGGUCAACUCGGAGGAAGGUGGGGAUGACGUCAAGUCAUCAUGCCCCUUAUGUCCAGGGCUUCACGCAUGCUACAAUGGCUGGUACAGAGAGUGGCGAGCCUGUGAGGGUGAGCGAAUCUCGGAAAGCCGGUCUCAGUUCGGAUUGGGGUCUGCAACUCGACCUCAUGAAGUCGGAGUCGCUAGUAAUCGCAGAUCAGCAACGCUGCGGUGAAUACGUUCCCGGG